rnacentral:tmRNA from 2 species
GGGGCUGUACUGGUUUCGAUUGCGAACCGAGUCCAUGGAAGCGUGCCGGGAAGAUACGCCCGUAACAGUUCAACCCUUAUAAGCGCCGCAUUUGUUGACGCUGAUUACGCCGUAGCUGCGUGAUCCGGUGGGGCACAACGGUUCACCCGUUCCCGUGUGCAAUCCCGCCGUCGCCAAAACGGGGAACCUGCAUACCGACUCAGCAUGCAGUGAGCCAGCAAUGGUCAUAAUGCAGAUGUCCUCCCGCCGUGAGGAGCGUAGAUCGGCUUUGUACCCACACGGUGACCCUUCGAGGGUUAAGCCCUGUGAGCCAAUGGGAUACGAGAUGAGUUACAGGCUACGCACGUAGAAGAAUGAGUACAGAGAACGUAAGACGCGGGUUCGAUUCCCGCCAGCUCCACCA